AAAAUAUAAAAAAUUUAAAAAAUUUGAACCAAGCGUUUUAUCAGAAAAAUUACACUGGUUAUAUAGCAGUUUGGCAAACACUAAUUUUGAUCAUUGAGAAGCUUAAUAUUCCAUUAACAACACAAUGUCAUUAAAACGUUUAGGUGAUUUUACAGAGUUAUCUCCCUGUAGUGUUAGGUACCACCUUAACUUAGCGAUAUAUUUGUAGGCAGCAGAUGAAAUUUUAAUAAAUUUCAAGAAACGUGUUAACAC
rnacentral:lncRNA from 1 species